UAGAUAGAAAUCAUCCAAACCCGAAAUGUAUCAAUUAAAGACUUAAUCUUUCAACCAAUCAAAUCCCUACAAGAGACCUAACUUAUGAACCCUAGUUUUCCCCAUGUACUCAAAUCUCCACAAAAAGCAGAUGCAAUACGACACUAACAACACUUGCGAAGCAAAACGACUCCAAAUUUUGCCUUUUUGGAUGGGAUGAAACCCCCCUAAAAAAACCCGAUUCUUUCUCCGAGAAAAUCCAAUGGAGAGAGAGAGAGAGAGAGAGAACCCUGGAAAGAAGGGCGAGGAUCAAAAAGGGCUUUUUGGAGAUGAUGGAGACGAAGAGUGAGAGAGACGGUCCCAGAGCCACGAGCGCGUAGCCGAUACCCGCCGCGACGUCAUCCGUUACCGCCGCACUUCGCUACGACCUGCCAGGGCUUGAAGUCUCAAUCGAGAUGCGCGAAUCGUUUGUCCGAAACCCAUCUACGAACACGAAGGAUCGAGUUCAUCAUCUCUUCGCUGAUUCGUAGCCCUGUUCCGGGUUUGUCAUAUCAAAACUACGACUGCAACAAGAAUCAUACGGGAAGAGAGCGAGUAAUUCCUCCAAAGAGUUCUUCAAUGUCAACAAGAAUCCUAUGUAGAUUUAAGUCUUCGAUCGUAGAUCAAGUUUCCACCUUUCUGACAUCCCACAGAUUCAACUGGCGCACAUCUUCAGAAGACGUCACUUUGCAAAUACCCUCGAUCAUCAGUUUUGUCCAGAAAUUUCCCGAAGAUUGCUGGUUUCUGAAUUUUAGUUGCGGCUUUCCUGCAAAACCAUAAGAAAGAAAGCAUCAUGUUACAGUGGCACUUGCAGGAUGAAACAGAUCCGUUUUUGUACAGAGGAAGGUGGUCAAGGGAGGGGUCACCUCAUCAAAAACUGCCGUUAUCUAUAACGGAGCAAGACUGGCGGGAGGGAACAAAAAUAACGGCAACAAGUAACGGAAUUUUGAAAGUCAUCCAUACAGAUUGUCAUCACCAAAUAUAGGGGAGCUCCAUCUACCGACCAGUCUUCUUACAUCAACCAAAACAAAAAUAAAAACCCAAUCUUUGUCUCGGAAUCUCCUUUCUUUCAGCUCUUCCACUUCUCCAAUCUCUAAACAAUCAGAGGGAAGGCCAAAAAA